AGUCUGGUGCCAGCAGCCGCGGUAAUACCAGCUCCACUAGCGUAUAUUAAAGUUGUUGCAGUUAAAAAGCUCGUAGUUGAACUUCUUUCAGUGUGAAGUUAGUACCUUGGUACUGCUUUGUGCUGGAAUUCGCUCAUAAAACAUACGCGACCUUUAGUGGCUCGGUUUGUAGAGUGGGCAUUUUACUUUGAAAAAACUAGAGUGUUUAAGGCAGGCCAUGGCUUGAAUACAUUAGCAUGGAAUAAUAGAAUAGGGCACCGGUCCAUUUCGUUGGUUAUUGGAUUAGUGUAAUGAUUAAUAGGGACAGUUGGGGGCAUUUGUAUUUAAUUGUCAGAGGUGAAAUUCUUUGAUUUAUUAAGGACAAACUUAUGCGAAAGCAUUUGCCAAGGAUGUUUUCAUUAAUCAAGAACGAAAGUUAGGGGAUCAAAGACGAUUAGAUACCGUCGUAGUCUUAACUAUAAACUAUUCCGACUCGGUGUUGACAUAGCUCAUAUAACUAUGCCAGCGCCGUAUGAGAAAUCAAAGUCUUUGGGAUCCGGGGGGAGUAUGGUCGCAAGGCUGAAACUUAAAGGAAUUGACGGAAGGGCACACCAGGUGUGGAUACUGCGGCUUAAUUUGACCCAACACGGGGAAACUUACCAGUUUAAAACAAGGGUGGGAUUGACAGAUUGAGAGUUCUUUCUUGAUUCUUUGGGAGGUGGUGCAUGGCCAUACUUAGUUGGUGGAUUGAUUUGUCUGCUUAAUUGCGUUAACGAACGAGACCUUAACCUGCUUAAUAGACGUAGCUUUCACAAAGCUGUGCUCUUCUUAGAGGGACUUUGUAAUUUCAAUUACAAGGAAGUUUGAGGCAAUUAUAGGUCUGUGAUGCCCUUAGAUAUACUGGGCCGCACGCGUUCUACAAUGACUAGUUCAGAAAGCUUCCUCCUGUCUCGAAAGAGUCCGGGUAAUCUUUACAAAACUAGUCGUGUUAGGGAUAGAUCUUUGCAAUUAUAGAUCUUGAACGAGGAAUAUCUAGUAAGUGCAAGUCAUCAUCUUGUACUGAUUACGUCCCUGCCUUUUGUACACACCGCCCGUCGCUUCUACCGAUUGAAUGUUUGUGGUGAGCCCUUUGGACCAGGCCUAGCCAGGGAAGUUAAGCAAACCCGAUCAUUUAGAGGAAGAAAAAGUCGUAACAAGGU
rnacentral:rRNA from 1 species